rnacentral:rRNA from 1 species
UACGUAGGUGGCGAGCGUUGUCCGGAAUUACUGGGUGUAAAGCGCGUGUAGGCGGGAGGCCAAGUCUGUGGUGAAAUCGCUCGGCUUAACUGGGCGGGGUCCAUGGAAACUGGUCACCUGGAGGUCGGUAGAGGCAAGUGGAAUUCCCGGUGUAGUGGUGAAAUGCGUAGAGAUCGGGAUGAACACCAGUGGCGAAGGCGGCUUGCUGGGCCGGACCUGACGCUGAGACGCGAAGGCGUGGGGAGCGAACGGG